rnacentral:tRNA from 1 species
AAGGGUAUAGCUCAGUGAUAGAGUGUAUGCCUAGCAUGCACAAGGUCCUGGGUUCAAUCCCCUGGACCUCCA